GAUUUUGAAGGAACAUGACAUUGAUGUUCCAGCAGAUGGACGAACACUAUUGAAAACACCUCAUUCUGGCAGUUUGAGAAUAACAGAAAAAUCAGGUGGCAAAUACACAUAUUUUGGAUUAAAGGAAGGUCUUACGCAUACUCUGUCUGAGCAAGACAUUUCAAAAUACGACCAGUUUGAGAUUUCUUUGAAUAUUGAUGGCCUACCCAUUUUCAAGUCCAAAAACCUCACAAUGUGGCCACUUCAGUGUGCUGUCAUCAACAUUGAUGAAGUGAAAAACAGUCCUUUUGUUGCUCUGGAGCAAAGCAACCAAAUGAUUUGGAGUUUUUGAGGGAUUUUAUGGAGGAGCUGCAAGAACUGAUGGAAACAGGCUUUAAAGGGAAGAGAAUUGUCCUCAAAAACAUCAUAUGUGAUGCACCAGCACGAGCCUUCAUCAAAGGAAUAGUUCAGUUUAAUGGCCGCUAUGGCUGUGACUUUUGUGAUGUAAAGGGAGUUCAUGAGAAUGGAACCUUUGUACACUAAGCCAUGUGACUCCAGAAUAAUUGGCAUGUUCAAAGGAUUUCGGAAUCACACUAAAAUGUUACAUACUGACACCACUCAACUGAGACAUAAAGCAAUCAUGAUACCUUUGUCCUUGAUUGAUAAAGAUGAAUACAAUCCGGUAGCGCUUAUACCGCUCAUGCGCUCAGUUUGAUUAGUUAGUCAAGUAAGUCAGCAAGGCAGGGUUUUUGCCUUUUUUAUUGCAUGUUAUCCUGAUUUUGAUCCGAAGACUAUGAAUAAUGUGUGUGUGUGUGUGUGUGUGUGUGUGUGUUUUUUUUUUUUUUUUUUUUACAUUGUACUAAAUGUCCCCACAAUUAAAGUGAACCACCUACAUUGUUUGGUAUGUGAUAUAUCAAUUAGACAAUAUUUAUUUAUACAGACAUAAAACAAACAUCCUUUGCUAUAUAACAAUCUAACUUUACAAUUUUUCAGAUCUGAAUACUAAGAUACUCCAACAAAUUCAAAUGCUGGAACAGAGACAAGCUGUCAUCAUGAAUGACUCGGCAAAAGUUAAGUCUGUUCUCAUGAAGCGGGCGGAAGAAGAUGCCCAUGAGGAACUUUUUAAACAACAACAGUGCUCCAGCUUUGAAACGUUUGAAGCCUUCUGUCAGAGGCUUGAAGAAGACAAAAAUUAUCGAGAGCUUUAUGUACACUAUCUCAUCCAUACUCACGGCAGCUCCAAUAUAGGUGAGAUGGUGAGACAGGCUUUAAAAAGCAUAGCGUCAGACAAUGUUCUCUGUCUGUAUAACAGAACGGGGAAAGAUGGGAAGAAAGUGUUGCCACCUGUGCUCCUGACGUGUUUGAAAAAAUGUGUCAGGUCUUUUCACAAACAAAAUAAAAUAGAGGUGAAGAAGCUAAAAGUAACUACCAGAACAACACCAGACGCGGAAUGUAUUCGCCAAGUAGAAAUUUUUUUGUCCAACGCCAACACCAGGCUGAAAAGGAAACCAAAUAAAGGAAAAAGCUGACUUUUUGUUUGAUUGUUUUUAUUAAUGGAAAUAAAGAAUGUGGGUGUAAAAGUUUGAGUUAACUGAAUCAUUUUAGAUAACAGUGAACUAACACAAUUAUUGCAUAGUGGUGUUAUAUGGUGAUCUCACAGU